rnacentral:rRNA from 1 species
CCUACGGGGGGCAGCAGGCGCGAAAACUUUACAAUGCGGGAAACCGUGAUAAGGGGACACCGAGUGCCAGCAUCAUAUGUUGGCUGUCCAGAUGUGUAAAAUACAUCUGUUAGCAAGGGCCGGGCAAGACCGGUGCCAGCCGCCGCGGUAACACCGGCGGCCCGAGUGGUGAUCGUGAUUAUUGGGUCUAAAGGGUCCGUAGCCGGUUUGGUCAGUCCUCCGGGAAAUCUGACGGCUCAACCGUUAGGCUUUCGGUGGAUACUGCCAGACUUGGAACCGGGAGAGGUAA